rnacentral:sRNA from 1 species
AAAGAGGAAGAAGCUAAACACAUCACGUGUAGAAAUGCUGACAUGUGUAGAUUUUCUUACAUAAUUAAACUUUCACUUAUAUAUUUUUUUCAUUUUUAUGGUUUAUUUAUAGGGGCAUUAGAUCGGUUAGAGAAAGCACGAGGUGGUCUGGACGAAUCAAAUCGUGGUAAGUGUCAUUCCACGGGAGCUCCGAACACUAAUUAGCCUCCGAUUGGUUCCUUCCUUUUUUUAGUUAAACAUCAUCCAAAAGUGGAUAAGCACGACCUUAAAUAAUGAACGGAAUGUGGAUAACCUUUGGCCCUAACCUACGAUCUGUCACCGGACCGCAAGAACAUUGAGACGGCAUUCUCCGUCACCAAUAUCUCAAGAGGUCGUGACACAACUUAAGGCUUUCUAAGGACUAUAAUAUAUUUCGCGCCAGAAUAAAUCGAGCAGGCCAAUUAUCAUUACUUAUCCGCAUUGUCCGAUUAAUCCACGAUCUACACGAUCCAUUCUCAUAUCGGACUGUUCCAAAUGGAUUUCCCUCAACCUUCUAAGUUUUUCCCGACCUUCUAAGGUUUCCUAGACCAACACUAAAGUUUCAUUAAGCUACACUAGUUCUUAGAGCUAACCUAAUGGUUUUGGGGUUUACCGGCAGUCGCAUCGUACAUAAGCUCGGCCCGACUGAUGGAGAGUCAUUCCUUUACAUGUGGACUUGAUCAUAUCUAAUGCUCCUUACCCAUGAUUUACCACACUAAUUGGCCGGACUGAUCUUGCCUUGCAUUGGCUUGAUCUUGCAUUUUAUCCGACAGAAUGCACGUCCGGCCGUCCAGGUCAUAGUCAAGGUCAGGGGCAUUACAUUCUUCCCCCCUUAAAAUUAUUCGUCCUUGAAUUCUAAGGAUUAAGGGAGUAAUUAGCCUUAAGAAAAACUGAUUUCUUCGUUGGCUUCAUAAAGCUUCUUAUACUAAGGAUCUCGUUUUGGGUAACAGGUCUUUUUGUAGGUAUGGUCUCCACCAUUAUUUCUUGCAACCUCUUCCUCUACUUUUAGGAAGUUGAUACAAGCCUUUAAACUAACAGACUCCACCUCUCUCUUUUCUUUGUAUGUAAAUUUUUUUUAGCGUCACCUCAUACGGUUAGCUAACGACUUUAAAUUCUCGGCUUCCUAGUACUACUAGGCUUGGUCUAUGAUCCUAAGGUUCCAUCCUAACUUUUAUGGUUCUUUCCUAACUCUUUUGAAAUGGUCUUCCCGUUUUCUAGACUUUCUAAUUCCUUUGGGCAAGGCUCCUAGGAUUUGAUACUUGGUUAAGUACGAAACGAAACACACACACACAAACGCAUUAAUAACUUGAAAGUAAAUUAAGCAAUCACACAAAAGAACAUUAGCAUAAACAUAAUAAAACAUAGCAUAAGUUAACAACCAUAAGGGAAAAAGGUGGUUUUGGCUAUCGUACACACACACUUAUUCAAGCCUACAGACAUCAUCAAAACGAUAUCACAAUGUAACCGAAGAUUACUAUUGGCUCUCCUAUAGCCAUCGCUAUACAUCAAAAAAUGAGGUUAGUUUCCUAAUAUUUACUAAGGUUAGGACUCCUAAGGGAAUCACAAUAACCUUAAACUACACUUGGAUCAGGUACAACCAAGAAAAAGAUCAUCAUCGGUGUCGGGAAUCGCUGGGGAUGAUGGACCAGCUGCGUGAGACGGGGGAGUACGGAUUGGUGCAAGAAUCUGAGCAUCAUCUCUCAACAGCAUACAUGUAGCAGCGUAGUGUCCGUACUCACAACAGUAGAGACAGAUAAUGGUCAUGGGCAUGUACUCUGUAUAGAACUCACAAUCCUGCGGGUAAUGUCCAUCUUCGCCAUAUAUAAAGCAGUAUGGUAUCUGAAUACCUUACCUGGUGCCGUCACCAACUAUCGAAAUAGUGUUAGCCCUCCUGUCAACCGCAAAAUGGAGUAUGGGGGACGUGCCCUACCAUAACAGUGCAAAAGGGCUAUCAGGAGAACGAAGGACAGCCUCCGGGAUGUAUGGAGAAAUCAGUGAAUCCUCAUAUUCCUCCGGGUCUGACUCAUAGGAUAUCGGUGAAUACGAGGUAAGAGUAAAGGAUGGCAUGGUAGGACUGCCCGAGGAAUCACUCACAUAAUCAUAGACCAUCACGAUCUCAUGUUCCUUCAGGGCCAGCUUCUGCUCCACCGUCCUCACUGCCAUGAUCACACAAUCAUCCUGACUAUUGAUCAUUAUCCCAUCCCCUAUCUGUACAUCCUCCCGGAUAAUCCGCUCAGGCAUAACGGCUAUCCCUACAAGGCCAUCAUCAGUAACCGUAGCGCUCGAUCCUAUCUUUGAUACAACUCGGGAACACUCAGCCACAUCUCUUCACACACACCUACCCCUAACUCUCUCACGGAGGUCAUAUCAUCUGGACGGCAGAUCCAAGGACCGUCCCUCCUCUUCCACAGACUCCGUACCACGAGAUCUCUUCAGCGGCAUACUAUAAUACAAACAAAAAGGUUAAGAUACAAUAAUACAAACAAAAGGGUAAGCCUUUUGUUUGUAUUAUUGUGUUAGUAUUAUGGUGUUACCCAUUUGUUUGUAUUAUUGUAUCUUAACCUUUUUGUUUGUAUUAUAAUAUGCCGCUGAAGAGAUCUCGUGGUAGGGAGUCUGUGGAGGAGGAGGGACGGUCCUUGGAUCUGCCGUCCAGAUGAUAUGACCUCCGUGAGAGAGUUAGGGGUAGGUGUAUGAGGAGAGAUGUGGCUGAGUGUUCUCGAGUUGUAUCAAAGAUAGGAUCGAGCGCUACGGUUACUGAUGUUGGCCUUGUAGGGAUAGCCAUUAUGCCGGAGAGGAUUAUUCGGGAGGAUGUAAAGAUAGGGGAUGGGAUGAUGAUCGAUUCGGAUAGUCAGGAUGAUUGUGUGACCAAGGCAGUGAGAACGGUGGAGCAGAAGCUGACUACGGAGGAACAUGAGAUUGUGAUGGUCUAUGAUUAUGUGAGUGGUUCCUCAGGCAGUUCUAGCACGCCAUCCUUUACUCUUACUCCGUAUUCACCGAUAUCCUAUGAGUCAGAUCAGGAGGAUUAUGAGGAUCCACCGAUUUCUCCAUACAUUUCGGAGGCUGUCGUUCAUUCUCCCGAUAGCACUUUUGCACUGUUAUGGGAGGGCACGUCCCCCAUACUCCAUUUUGCGGCUGACAUGAGGGCUGACGCUAUUCCGUCAGUUGGUGACGGCACCACGUCAGGUAUACAUAUACCAUACUGCUUUAUAUAUGGCGAAGAUGGACGUUACCCGCAGGAUUGUCGGUUCUAGACAGAGUACAUGUCCAUGACCGUUGUCUGUCUCUAUUGUUGUGAGUACGGACACUAUGCUGCUACAUGUAUGUUGUUGAGAGAUUAUGCUCAGAUUCCUGCACCAACCCAUAGUCCCCCGUCUCACGCAAUUAGUCCAUCAUCCCCACCGAUUCCCGCUACCAAUGAUGAUCUUUUCUUGGAUGUACCUGUUCCAGGUGUAGUUUAGGGUUACCGUGAUUCCCUUAGGAGUCCUAACUUUAGUAAAUAUUAGGAAACUAACCCCUUUUUUGAUGUAUAGCGGCGGCUACAGGAGAGCCAAUAGUAACCUUCGUUACAAUGUGAUAUCUUUUUGAUGAUGUCUGUAGGCUUGAAUAAGUGGGUGUGUACGAUAGUCAAAACCACCUCUUUUCCACUUAUGGUUGUUAACUUUUGUUAUGUUAUAUUAUGUUUAUACAAAUGUUGUUUUGUGUGAUUGCUUGAUUUACUUUCAAGUUAUUAAUGCGUUUAUAUGUGUUUGUUUCGUUUCGUACUUAACCAAGUAUCAAAUCCUUGAAGCCUUGCCCAAAGAAGUUAGAAAGUCUAGAAAACGGGAAGACCAUUUCAAAAGAGUUAGGAAAGAACCAUAAAAGUUAGGAUGGAACCUUAGGAUUCGUAGACCAAACCUAGUAGUAUUAGGAAGCCGAGAAGUUAAAGUCGUUAGCUAACCGUAUGAGGUGACGCUAAAAAAAAGUU